UUCUUUUCCAUGAACUUUAAAGUUAAACACGUCCAUGUCAAGAUUAUCCACCAGCCUGCAACAGAAAACAACCGCAAAUAUAAGGACUGAUGGUUGUUUUUAAUACAUAUCAUGUAUAUUUCGGAUAUUUUGAAUGGCUGUUCUGCGAUAGGCUGGCACCCUAUCCUGGGUGUACCCC